UACGUAGGGUGCAGGCGUUAAUCGGAAUUACUGGGCGUAAAACGUGCGCAGGCGGCUCCUUAAGUCAGAUGUGAAAGCCCCGGGCUUAACCCGGGAACUGCGUUUGAAACUGGGGAGCUAGAGUGUGGAAGAGGGGGGUGGAAUUCCAGGUGUAGCAGUGAAAUGCGGAGAGAUCUGGAGGAACACCGAUGGCGAAGGCAGCCCCCUGGGCUAACACUGACGCUCAUGCACGAAAGCGUGGGGAGCAAAUAGG
rnacentral:rRNA from 1 species